rnacentral:rRNA from 1 species
ACGAACGCUGGCGGCGUGCUUAACACAUGCAAGUCGAGCGGUAAGGCCCUUUCGGGGGUACGACGAGCGGCGAACGGGUGAGUAACACGUGGGUGACCUGCCCUCAGCUCUGGGAUAAGCCUGGGAAACCGGGUCUAAUACUGGAUAUGACUCCAUGACGCAUGUUGGUGGGGUGGAAAGCCUUGUGCGGCUGAGGAUGGGCCCGCGG